rnacentral:rRNA from 1 species
AACUAACUAGGAUUCCCUUAGUAACGGCGAGUGAACCGGGAUGAGCUCAAAUUUGAAAUCUGGCGUCUUUCAGGCGUCCGAGUUGUAAUCUAUAGAGGCGUUUUCCGCGCCGGACCGCGUCCAAGUCUCUUGGAAUAGAGUAUCAAAGAGGGUGACAAUCCCGUACUUGACGCGACAACCGGUGCUCUGUGAUACGUUCUCAACGAGUCGAGUUGUUUGGGAAUGCAGCUCUAAAUGGGUGGUAAAUUCCAUCUAAGGCUAAAUAUUGGCGAGAGACCGAUAGCGAACAAGUACCGUGAGGGAAAGAUGAAAAGCACUUUGGAAAGAGAGUUAAACAGCACGUGAAAUUGUUAAAAGGGAAACGAUUGAAGUCAGUCGUGUGAAAGGUAUUCAGCCGUCUCUGGCGGUGUAUUUGCCUUUCACGGGUCAACAUCAGUUUAGUCCGGUAGAAAAAGGCUGGAGGAAGGUGGCACCCUCGGGUGUGUUAUAGCCUCCUGUCACAUGUGCCGGAUUAGACUGAGGAACGCAGCUUGCCGCAAGGCCGGGGUUCGCCCACGUACAAGCUUAGGAUGUUGACAUAAUGGCUUUAAACGACCC